rnacentral:rRNA from 1 species
GAUUGUGAACCACUGUCCUAAAUGCACCAGAUCUUGUCUGAUCUUGGAAACUAAGCAGGAUCAGCCCUUGUUGGUAUUUGGAUGGGAGACUACGAACUUAUACCAGGUGUUGUGGACU